ACUGCGUUCGUCUUUCUUCCUUCUCAGUCCACCCCCUUUCCCCUACAAUCUUCUGUCUGUCCUUCUAUUUUCUCUCGAGCGGGGAUCGAUCAUUUUUCACUCUGAACCAACAACGCCGUGGGUUACACAGACAGUCGUCUGCAAGAAGUGCGCAUCUUGCCAAAGAGAAAAUGGAACACUAUAAAGAGCAGUCACAAUAAUGAUUAUUAUUAUUUUGUUUAUUUCGCCACUUUAUCGGUGUGUAUAUUUGAACUCUAUUUGCUUGCUUUUAUUCUAAUCAGCACUUGGCUGGAGUAAAUUGAAAAAAAAGGGGGAAAUUAACAGAGUAAAAUGGUAUAUAUAAUAUAAACAAAAAAAUCGGACGUCUGACGGAUGAAGUUUCGUGUUGAUGGAAUCUCCGUCACUCUCACGUCGCACGUUUAUUUUCUAUGUUUGUUUUGUUUGGUUUUUUUUUUUUUUCGCUUAUUUUUUGGUGGGGGCACUGGUUUGACACUUGCGCCUCCUACCCAAUGACGGCCGUCUCUGGCUAAUCUGGUUUCUCGUCAUCUUUUUAGAAAAUACGGGGUUAGUAUAUCCGCACAUCAAUCCCGUAAAAAAACAAAACAAAAAAGUUCUUUGGCUUUGACAAAGUCAUCGACCUACGAAUUUUUCGUAGCGGAUACAAAAAAUUCGAUCGGUGACAAUUUUUUCGUGGUUAAAACCCCCGAAAAACUUGUAACCUUUUUAACAGUGUAUAUAUAUUAUAUAAACAUAAAGUGGUUUGAGCUGUUGGUAAUCAGAUAGAUUCCAAGAGACAUGGACCAAUUCGAAACUUAAAAAGAAAUCAACAGAAGGCGAGUGCAAAGCUGAAUUCAGCUGACCUAAGCCAGUGUGAUGCUGCCAACUCUAUACUUCCGGCAAUUCAUCCACUGCUGUCGAUGAUGAUUUUCCUGAACAUGAACGUGAAGAUGAGUUAAGAAGAAAGCAUGAUUUUGACCAAAGGCGUGAGUUUUUCAAAAGUAACCACAAACUUUCUCUUGCAAAGUUAUUGGAAAAGACACCGCAUUAUCAUGAUUUUGAAAAGGAAUUAAACGCUCGUUUAACAAUUAGCCUGUGACGUUACUAAUUAGUAAGAAUUCUUUUGUUGUUACACAGGCUUACGAUGAUUUUCUAAUGAUAUAUCCCAUGAGUUGCAUAAAUGAGGACAAGUUUCAGAAGGCAUUUGAGAGUACAAUGAUUACUUUUCGACGCUUUCUGGAAAAAAAUGGUGAUAAGGGCGGGCAGAAGUGGCCUGAGGGUGCAAAAAUGGAUCUUGCAGUGAAAAAGUACUCCUUGCAGUUAACGCUUUGUGUUCAACAAGCCGCGGUGUAAAAGGGGCAAAGCCAGUUUUUGUUAUUCGUGAAGUUGGAAAAAACGUGGAUUCCGAUUACUCUGGAGUGAACUCAAGUGCCAUUGUAUUCUUUAAUGGGAAUUCUCUCCACUCCAUGCUUAUCAUUGUUGGAUCGUCCUGCAAUGUUAACUACAAGAACAUCAAUGUUUCAAAAGGUUUUCCAAGGCAGAAACCAGUCCAGAAAGACUCUAUGACUAUGGCUAGUUUUCUGAAAAAGUAUGACAAAUUUGUCUUUGAUGACGACCAAGACCAACAAGCACAGGAAUUGCCUUCUGAUGAAGAAUCGACGUAGAUUGGGAAAUUGAGAGACAUUUCUUUCUUACUUUGAUUUUUUUUUUCUUAAUGUGUUCGGGAUUUCUGCUGCUGCCGAUAAUGUCAUUUCUCAUUUGUCGUUAUUUUGUACCAUUUAUUGUUAAAUGCUCAUAUGACUCUUCGUCUAACCCAUAAUUGAAACGUUAUGUGCUCUAAUCAUAGUAACCAGGUCACAACAGUUAUACCGCCGUUUAUGUCAUGUGUUGGUUUCGUUAUUGUUAAUAAACGAAGGAAUGUCGUGUUGAUUAA